rnacentral:tRNA from 1 species
GCGGGAAUAGCUCAGUGGUAGAGCGCCACCUUGCCAAGGUGGAUGUCGCGGGUUCAAUCCCCGUUUCCCGCUCUU